rnacentral:rRNA from 1 species
AGCAGUAGCCGCGGGAAUACGUAGGCGGCAAGCGUUGUCCGGAAUUAUUGGGCGUAAAGGGCUCGCAGGCGGUUUCUUAAGUCUGAUGUGAAAGCCCCCGGCUCAACCGGGGAGGGUCAUUGGAAACUGGGAAACUUGAGUGCAGAAGAGGAGAGUGGAAUUCCACGUGUAGCGGUGAAAUGCGUAGAGAUGUGGAGGAACACCAGUGGCGAAGGCGACUCUCUGGUCUGUAACUGACGCUGAGGAGCGAAAGCGUGGGGAGCGAACAGGAUUAGAUACCCCCGUAGUCCCUGUCUCUUAUAA